AGAUGCUGACCUUUGAAGGCUGAAAUCUGAUCACACUCCAGGCUUGGGAGUACUGAGCCUUCAGCUCUCACCCAAGGCAACUGAGGCACACACUGGAAGCCCUCAUUUGUCUCUCUGGAAAGUGAAUAUUAAAUCCUAUGCUUUUUAGGAUAUAUUAUCUCCAACCUGGUUACAUCUAUUUCAUCCUACCAGAAAAAGCCAGCGAAUUGAAAUGUUAAAAAUAAUGACUACUGAGCACUUAGCUAUGUAAAGUGAAAUAUCAUUCUGGGGCUACAGAUAUCAUGGCAAUAUGCCACUGCAGCAAAAUGUUUGGAUGAUGUUCUCAGCUGCCUUGCAAAUCAAAACUCUGCAUAAUAAGUCUGCAAAGACUCAAGCCUCAAUUCAAUACACACAGCAGACAAUGGGUAGUGGAAUUUCAACUUUCUCAGGAAGAAAGGAACUAACCCAAACCAGGUUUUUUACACAAAGCCACCAGCCUGGUUUGCACACACAAGAAUGAAGGCCGGAGUUACCACGAGAAACAAGCUGCUUUUUUGGAAAACAGAUGAGGACGCACCCACCACCAGACCCUGCUCACAGACUGGGACUCAGACUGUAAUUUCCCAACAUGAAAGCCACUGAAGUAAAACUGCUUCUGAAUGGGGGUCACCUGCACCAUCAGUUUCUUUUCUACUGAAUUAUUUCCAUCCACAUAAAAGUAUCACUUAAUAUUUCAUAUAUAAUAUGUCUUUUAUUGUAGUAAAGUAUAUGUAACAUAAAAUUUACGAUAUUACCAUUUUAACCCUUUAACCAUUUUUAGAUGCACAAUUCUGUGGCAUUAAGCACAUUCGCAUUGUUGCACAAUCACCACCACUAUCCAUUUUGUUUUUCAUCUUCCUAAACCAAAACUGAAGACCCUUUAAACACUAACUCUUCAUUCCCUCCUUUCCCAGCCCCUGGCAACCACCAUACUACUUUCUGCCUCUAUGAAUUUCACCAAUCUAGGACCUCACAUAAAUGGAAUCAUACAAUAUUUAUCCCUUGUGUUUUUUAAACAAAAUGCCUUCUCUUGACCCCAUAUCUUCUUCCAAUCGUAGCCCUAUUUUUCUAAUCUCCACCAGAGUAAAACUUUUAGAAAAAGCUGUCUGUACUUGGCUCCACUUUCUCCCUUCUCAUCCUCUCUCCAAGUCAUUCUAAAGGGACUUUCAUCCCUAAUAUUUGUCAAAUAUUGACAAAGUCAAUGAUCAAUGCUUUGUCCUUGUAUUACCCAACCCAAUCCACUCAGUAGCAUUUGAAACGUCUGACCACUGCCUCCUCCUAGAAACACUAUGCUCUCCAUCCCUCCCUGACUGUAAACUUGCCUGGUUCUCCUCCUACCUCAUGGCUGCUCUUCCUCCAGCUUUUUUGUUGGCUCCUCCCCCAACUACCAGAUCGCCAAAGGUCAGAGUGCCCCAGGGCUCCGUCCUUGAUUCUCUUCUCUUUUCCAUGCACACAGUGUCACUCAAAGCCUUGGUAUGCAUGCCAGUGUCAGUCCAUUAACUGUUUGUUACCAGACUGCAAUGACAGAAGUACAGAAACUGACUAAGCCUUUAGAAAGUUCUAAUCACAAUUUGACAGUAUAUGUUUAUAGUCUUGCAUCUAAGAAUAAAAAAUUAGGCUUGAAUUUGAUAGUUUUUUUAAUAGUUUAUAUUUCAUUUUUAUAAUGAUUUAUACCAUUGUAUUUUACAAAGUAUUGGUUUGCAUCAGAUUGGAUUAGAAAAAUAAAACUGGUCCUUCCCC
ensembl:lncRNA